AUGCUUUCGAGGGGCGAGAAACUUGCCAUGGCCCGCCAUGUCCUUAGUGCCAUGCCACUCCACAUUCUGAUGGCGAUGGCUAUUACUCGUCCCAUCUUGAAGCAGCUCAAUCGCCUGGUACAUUCCUUCCUUUGGCGUGGGCGGAAAGAGGUCAACAGCGGCCACUGCCUUAUGAAUUGGGCUACUAUAUGUCAUCCGAUCUCUCUUGGUGGCUUGGGCAUCCCGGACUUCCAGCGAGCCGGCAUCGCCUUGCGGUCCAGAUGGUUGUGGAUCCAAUCCACUAACCCCUCACGUCUGUGGCACCACCUGCAUAUGCCCAGCUGCCCCGAGGUUCAGGCUAUUUUCAGGGCCUCCACAUCCUGGCCCCUGGGUGAUGGCUGUGCUUGCAAGUUUUGGGUGGAUCACUGGCUCGACAGCAAAUCUAUUGAGGGGACUACCCCGCUGAUAUUCCAGAAGGUACCGAGGCGCUGAUGUAAGCUCACCUCUGUGCGUGAUGCCCUGCUAGACUGAUCUUUGGCGCGGCAAAUUACUGGCUCUCUCGGGCCAGCGGCUCUAUUACAGUAUGUUCUGUUGUGGCGACGACUGUGGCAUAUUGUGCUCUCUGAGACGCCCGACCACAUCAUAUGGAGAUAGGCCUCGACAGGGAUUUACUCGGCGAGCUCCUUCUACCAAGCUCUAUUCCAUGGAUCCAUCGAAGCAUCCCACUGGCAGCUCACGUGGAGGCCAUGGGCGCCUCUCCAGGUGAAGAUCUUCUUCUGGCUAGCGCUUAGGGAUCACUACUGGACUGCACAGCACCUUCCCCGACAUGGCUUGCCGCACGACUCGACCUGCCCCCUCUAUGACCAAGAGCCUGAGAUGAUGUCUCACCUACUCUCGGGUUGCCCCUUUUCGCGACAGGUAUGGCACGAGAUCUUGAGUUGGUGUCGGCUUCUGAUAACCCACAAGUAUAGGGGAUCGCAACAGUUUUCGAGGGUAGAGUAUUCAACCCAAAUUUAUUGA
rnacentral:rRNA from 1 species